UUCAGAAAGAAUCAGAUGUCGGAGUGAUUUGAUCCUGUAAAUUGCAAGAACUAAAAAUUUUUAUCUUCUUAGUAAUGGACCUGCAACAACCAAACAUUUUUAAAAAUUAGAUAUUUUUUAAAAUUAAAGGAUAAUUAUAAAAAUCUUUUUAUGAAUACAAUACACUCUUUACCUAAUUAAUUAUAAUUAAUGAAUUUUUAUGAUUUUAUUCUCAUAAAGUCUAUUAAUUAAACUGUAUAAUUUUAAUUAAAAUAAUGUAGUUUAAAUAAAAUCCUCUAAUUAUAAAAAGAUAUUUUUGUAACCAUUAAUUAAAUUAUCUAAUCAUAAAAAAUAUAUUUUACAUCAAAACUACGUAGAUUCGGUGUAUUAUUUGUAAUAACCUAGCAUCUAAAAUUUACCCAAUUCACAUUUCUCCCUAGCAAAUCACGCAGUAGCCAUCAUCGCAUCUUCAGCCAGAGGACCUGUCGCCCCCCUGAGCAGCAGCACGUCGCGCCAGCACCACCACCGCAUCACGCUCCUGUGAGCCGCCGCAUCACUGCUUCUCGUGCUCGUGAGCCACCGCACGCCGCACCUCUGCAUCGACCGGUCGUUUGCAGCCCACCUCUGCAUCGCGCUUCUCUGGAUCGCGUCACAAGCAGAUCUCCAGUUCAAACGUGAUAUGUAAGACUCAAUUGCUUCUCAAAAAAUAAUUUACAUAUUAG
rnacentral:lncRNA from 1 species